rnacentral:rRNA from 1 species
CGCGGCCUAUCAGCUUGUUGGUGAGGUAAUGGCUCACCAAGGCGACGACGGGUAGCCGGCCUGAGAGGGUGACCGGCCACACUGGGACUGAGACACGGCCCAGACUCCUACGGGAGGCAGCAGUGGGGAAUAUUGCACAAUGGGCGAAAGCCUGAUGCAGCGACGCCGCGUGAGGGAUGACGGCCUUCGGGUUGUAAACCUCUUUCAGCAGGGAAGAAGCCACAAGUGACGGUACCUGCAGAAGAAGCGCCGGCUAACUACGAGCCAGCAGCCGCGGUAAUACGUAGGGCGCAAGCGUUGUCCGGAAUUAUUGGGCGUAAAGAGCUCGUAGGCGGUUUGUCGCGUCUGCUGUGAAAGCCCGGGGCUUAACCCCGGGUGUGCAGUGGGUACGGGCAGACUAGAGUGCAGUAGGGGAGACUGGAAUUCCUGGUGUAGCGGUGGAAUGCGCAGAUAUCAGGAGGAACACCGAUGGCGAAGGCAGGUCUCUGGGCUGUUACUGACGCUGAGGAGCGAAAGCAUGGGGAGCGAACAGGAUUAGAUACCCUGGUAGUCCAUGCCGUAAACGUUGGGCACUAGGUGUGGGGGACAUUCCACGUUUUCCGCGCCGUAGCUAACGCAUUUAGUGCCCCGCCUGGGGAGUAC